rnacentral:rRNA from 1 species
GACGAACGCUGGCGGCGUGCUUAACACAUGCAAGUCGAACGGUGAUGCUCCAGCUUGCUGGAGUGGAUCAGUGGCGAACGGGUGAGUAACACGUGAGCAACCUGCCCCAGACUCUGGAAUAAGCGCUGGAAACGGCGUCUAAUACUGGAUACGAAACUGGCCCGCAUGGGCAUGGUUUGGAAAGUUUUUCGGUUUGGGAUGGGCUCGCGGCCUAUCAGCUUGUUGGUGAGGUAAUGGCUCACCAAGGCGACGACGGGUAGCCGGCCUGAGAGGGCGACCGGCCACACUGGGACUGAGACACGGCCCAGACUCCUACGGGAGGCAGCAGUGGGGAAUAUUGCACAAUGGGCGAAAGCCUGAUGCAGCGACGCCGCGUGAGGGAUGACGGCCUUCGGGUUGUAAACCGCUUUCAGCAGGGAAGAAGCGAAAGUGACGGUACCUGCAGAAGAAGCACCGGCUAACUACGUG